ACCUUCCCCGCCCGCAGGGGAGCUUAAACCCUACCCCUCCGCCCGCAGGAGCCCUGUGUCGCCCCCGGGGCUCACCCGCAACCCCCGCCGUGCUCUCGCCCCGCCAGGGACCCGCCGCCCCCGGGGGAGGAUGCUCAGGAGGGUGCGGGGAAGACGGGGGAGAACCGGCCCCUGCGGCCCAUCCGCCGCCUCCUCCCCCUGGAGGAAGGCACAAAGGGCCCCGGGAGGAGGAAGAGGAAGGUGAAGGUGAAGAAGAAAGGCUCAGGGCAGCCAAGCCCAGCCGAGGAGCCGGAGGGACCAGGAGAAGUGGGUGACAGCCGAGCUGGGGCUGCUGGGGGGCUGCUGCCCCCCAACAGGGUCGGGCAGGAGGAACCCGCGCCCACCGGGACAGCCACCCCCCACCCAGGGCAGGGCAUGAAAAAGAAAAAGAAGAAGAAAAUCAAGAACAAAAUCAAGUCGCAGGAGCCUGCCAUGGAGCAGCAGCGUGAGGAGGUCUCGAGUACUUUUGACCUGUACCGCCGGGCGAUGCUGGCUCUGAAGAUGAGGCAGGAGCAGAGGAAGCAGCAGUCCGCCAUCGUCCCCUGAGCAGGAAGGCACGUCUCAGGGGAUGUGUGGUCCCAGAGGACCCCAGGAUACCGUGGCAGUAGGACCCACGCUCGUGCAGGGCUCCUGGAGAGCUUGGCCAGGGCUGGGGCAGUCCUGGGGCAUGAACAGCAGCGUUGUCCUCUGCAUGGCUUGAAAGCCAGGGAUCCGCAGGAGCGAGCCAAAAGUCCCUUUGUAAGAUGCCUCUCUGGCAGCCGGGCUACAAACCCAUCUGGAAAGGAAACAGCCGGCCACUUGCCGACCCCGCGUUAGUAUUCUGUGGAAGAUUUGUUCUGAACUCGACUGAGAUGGUGGAAGAGAGGAAGCUUGGAGGAAAUAUCCCAGGGGAAAAGCCUAUAUGUUGACCUGUCCCAUGCCCAGGUGAAGCCGUCUUGACUCGGCCCCUCAGUCAGUCCCUGGCUGCUGCCCGGACCGGUCGAGUUUCCUGCUGGUGAAGGUGGGAGGGCAAUCAUUGAUGAUCUGCAGGGGAGCUUCACCUGGUGGGGCUGUCAGGACCCUCCUCGCACGGUGGAUGGAGGGUGAUGCCUGUGUUGUCUGUGCAUCUUUGCAGCCUGUCAGCAAAGACUUGUGGAGUUCAAUGGCAGAGGUAGUGGUGGAGGCUCCUCCUGGAGCCUGGAGGCUCCUUCCCAGGAGGGGAAUGUUCCUUCUGAUCCUGCCGCCCUCCCAGGAGGGACAGUGGUGACCCACAGGCAGCAAAAAAUGCUCCUGUGUCACUGCCAGCCUGGCACCUGAAGUCCAGGACCGUCCCUGAUCUGUGCUCAGCUCAGCUCUGAGACGGGAGAGCAAGCAGCACUCGUAUCCCAACACACAGAAUCAUAGAAUAAUAGCAUCAUAGAAUGGUUUGGGUUGGAAGGGACCUUAAAGACCAUCCAGUCCAACUCCCUGCCCUGGGCAGGGACACCUCCCACCACACCAGGUUGGUCAAAGCCCCAUCCAGCCUGGCCUUGAACCCCUCCAGGGAUGGGGCAUUGCAACCCAUCCA
rnacentral:lncRNA from 1 species